GUCUCAUUGUUUGGUUAUAUGAUCCACUAAAAAAUUUGGGUAGAUGGCCCGGUAAAAAAUGGUCCGAUAAAAAACAAGCUCUAUCGUUUUAUGACAAUUAGGUUUUCAUUGUUUUCCUUCGUCGACCCUUCAACCUCACCAUCACUGCCUGUUUUUCUUUGAUUUCUGAAACAAUUCCUUUCCACAGAGAUUUCCAGGCAUAGCUUACGCAAGCAAGGCUUUGGAGUAGGAAGGUCAGUAUAUUGAUGUGGAGGCACUGCGGAUAUGGAACGUGUGUUACGUCCGUCUCCUUCUUCCCACAGAGAAGUUAUAGUUUUUGAUCGGCGGCAGAUCCUCCGCCAAUCUUCUCUUCACUAUCUCUGAGUGGCAGAUAUGAUGGAAUCCGGCGAAGGUUUCGCGGCGAUGGAAGAGAGGAUCCUUCCUGGAAGCUUCUCCCAGUUUCCUCUUCCUGCUUCUUUUUCACAACUUAUGCCACAUUGCUGCAGACUACUAAAUCAAGAAAUUAGGAGGCUCUCCAUUUUCUCCGACCUUGAUAUAUAUGAGCCUGGCAGUCCAUUUAGAUCCCUUGGUCCGGCGCUCACAAAUGGAAAGCUUGAUUUUGAGAUUGCAAGACACUAUAGGGUGUUUAUUAGAGGACGAGAUCUGUGAAAGAUACUGUCAAGGAGGAGAAGCUCAAAGGUAAGCAAUGUUACAAACAUCUCAGCGAGCCACUACAUUUACUGAUCGAAGCCGAGCUUACAGAGAACAUAAUAAACUCUAGAUUGGAGCAUGCAGUGCAUUUCCUGGAGUCGCUCCUAAAGCCAGUGGACAAAUCAAUUGACCACUACAAGAGGGAACAACUGAAGGAGUUAGGGGCUCUGAAUGGUACGCUAAGGGAAGAGAGUCCAAGUCUGCGCUUGAGCCCUUGUCUGAGUCCGAGCAUGUCCCCUUUCAACAGCAAGCGUGCCAAGACUUGAAAAUAAAGAUUUCUACAGGAUAGAUGAUUUCUUUUUUUUUUCUCUGCUUCGGACAGAGAAACCAUGGCAUGGUCGUGUGGACGGAGGCAAAUGAGACACUUCAAUUCAUUUGUUUUUAAGUCAUUAAGUUUAUUCUUUAUUUUUGAAAGUUUGUUGGCUAGCAGAAAUUACUAUACUAUGUAGCCAGUAAGUAAUAAUCUUAUUAUUGCACAAAAAAAAAAGUAAGCUAACUAAUACUAAAAGAGAUAUAUGAGCAUCAGUCAGCCUAUCCAUGUAUGCAAAUUAAAUUAACCUAUCACAAAAUGACAUGUCAGCACCAUUGACAAAUGACCUUUAAUCUCUGUGCUAUUCCUUUCGCAGGAGAAACCUAAGAGCAUCUGUAUUGGAAGGCCCUUAAGGCAUCCCUUAGGGGAAAUGGGUGGGAACCGAGGAAGAAAGAGAAGGGAAAAGCCCUUAAUUAAGGGCUGUCCCUUACUCUCCUAUGACCAAAAAAAAAAAAAAAAAAAAAAAAAAAACAGAACAAGGGACCUCUUCUCCCUCUCUCUUCAUCCCACCAAUACAGAUGCUCUAAAGAAUAAAGACACCAGUUACAAAUCCUCUUUCUCUUCCCUUUCCCACUUUGUCUUCCAACUAUUAAAGCUCCAUUAAAGUGAAAAAUCAUAGAAUCUCGCUUUCCGCUGAACUAACAAAAAAAAUUGAGACGAGAGGUAGCUCUUUGGCUUCCAAGUGUUUCUGUUCUUCUUCAUCAUCCCUUGAAACAUCAUCUCCACGCCCUACCAAGCCAUCUAAGGUUAAGAUCCGCUAUUGAAUCUGCUGUGGCGGUGCCGGCGGGUCUUCCUCGGUGAGCUAGGUUCCGGUUGAGAAUCAAGUAUCGGAAUCUGUAGAGACAUAGCUUAGAUCCUAUGAUCCCCAAGCUAUGGAUGCGGAUUUACGCUCUGAUCCACAAGCUAUCCUCUGACUCAGUGGCUUUCAUCUACUCUUCAUCGGCCUCCGCCUCUCUCUCUCUCUCCUAUUCUUCUCCAGGCCACAUCAACCCUCUCCGAUCAGAAAACUCUACCCAGGAGCCGAUCUAAUUGUAGCUACUGAAUUGCUUAGACAGAAAGAGAAUGUGUAGGCAGAAUUGUUGCGCAAAAUCGUCACAAGAGGAGGAGGUGAUUUCACCACCUGAUGAGAAUCUCUUGAUCUACUGUAAACCUGCUCGUCUCUACAACAUUCUUCGCAUUCGCUCUCUUUUCAACCCAUCGUUUCUUCCUAGAUUAUUGAGCUACAAAAUUUGAGCAAAGGGCAAAAAAAGUAUGAUUCUUCUUUUUAUCCUUUUCUCGGGUCUAAUUAUGGAAACUCAUGAAUGGUUUCUUCUCUGUUGUGUGUGUUUUUUUGGUUUAAGUCCGGAUCUGCUGGGAUUGUAGUUUUUAAUUAUAAGGAUUGUAAUAACAAGAAUAUCAACUCCUCAAUUAACGGUGAUUUCCAUAUCUUGCAUACUUUGCAGCUAAACAUAAUUUGAAGUUUGAAGUUUUUGUCUUGCAGGUCGUGUUGCAGUGAUAGGGUUCUUCAUGGCUUCACUUUUGUUUCUGUCAUGAAUCCGGAUUUUUUUCGUAUUGAAAUCUAGAGGUCUGUUUGAAAUUUGAAGGUUGAAACAAGGGUUUAAAGAUGUUGUCCAAGAGAUUGAAUCUGAAGUUAGCUGCAAGCUGGAGCAAGGUAAACCUGGGAUGCCGUUAGAUAAGAGAUUCAUCACACGUUUAUUGAGUUUAUACCUUCUGUGCUUUCAGCUUCAACCAGAAGGAUAGGAGACGAUACACCAGGUUGCAGCAUGUGAUUUUUGAGUUAGGAGCUUCAGAAUUGGUUGGAUCAAUUAAUAGACCACGUGCCUGGCCAGCCUUUCGAGUGUAUGGUUUGGAGUUAACUGAAGUGCUGAGUAAUCUUACAGAUUGGAAGGUGAAUAUGGUGACAAGAGAGGCUAACUGGGGUGCUUUCUUGAUUGCUCAAAGCGUGACAGAGGAGAUGAGACUUCAGUCCUAUGUGGCCCAGGGUAAUCCUUCUUGGUUACAUGGUUUGCUUGCAGAGGAAGGUACGAGGAACAGUGUGUAACUGAUGAUGGUGGAGUUUGAAAGUCUAUGGUGAAGCUAUGUGUUUUUGGAGAGAAGCUGGAGUUUUAGGCUCUUAGCGUUUCUAUUUCGCUUUUUAGUUUUUAGUGUAGUUUCAAUUGUUGUUGAGGUUCCUUUUGAAUCUUUAUGGUAUUUUUGACACUUUCCAUUUUCUCAAGAGUUAAAAAAAAAUUUGUUUUGCGUUUCAUGGCCUGAUUUGUAAGAUUUAAGUAUAAGGUUUUGGCCUUUUGGGUGGUGUUUGCUUAAGAAUUUGUCAUUUAGUUUGAUUUUCGUCUAACCUUUCAUUUGUAAUGGCUUUCCAUAAAUUGGUUUGGUGGACAAAAGUUUUCAGUUGUUUUGGUCAUUUUGACUUGCCUUAUAAAUAGUAACACUUAAAUUAUUGGUUAAACUAAAAUCAUGUUAACCAAUUUUUAUAGUAACAAUCUAGCUAGAGAUUUUUUCAUGUCUGACCAUUAAUUUCUUACUUAUACCAUCAUCUCUAUAGUGUUAUAUUAUAGAACCCUCAACAAACUAUAAGUUCUAAAAUUUUCAGAUUUAUUAGGCAGAAAACAAUAAAGUAAUAGUUUAAAAUUUGUAUACUAACUUAUUUUAAUACAUAACUCUAACAUAUAUAUAUAUAUAUAUAUAUUCAAAUAAAAAAUUAAUUAAGAAUUCGACCUAAAAAUGGUGUCCAACGGGGAUGAUCAUCUCAUACAGAACAAGCUUAUGAGGGGACAGAAAAUGGCUUCUCAUAGGAGUUUGUAUUAUUUUCAGUUUUGAGCUUUGCGUAGAUGCAGUUUGCUCGCAUAAUCUUUGAUUCACAAUUGUUAUAAAAGUUUGUGGUGUGGUGUGUGAUAAUUAUGAUUUAAACUUAUGAAAUAAGAGAGAAGAGUUUCAUCAUACCUUACUAUCGGCACACAUGUGUUUAUCUCGAUAGGUUUGCAGGUAGUUCGUAGGGAUUUCAAAAUAUGUUCGCAUGUUACUCUCUUUUGGCAAUAUCUAUAUGGGUCACUUGACCAAACAUUUUCUCUUUUUGUUUGAAGAAAUUUGAGAAAAGUCAGUGAAGCCUAAGCUUCUGAAGUUAAUUGAUGAAGCGUUGCAAAAUACACAUGCAAAAUACUAGGAGGAGAAGAGCUGACAUAAGUGUUUUGCAGAAAAAGAGAGGGGAGAGAACUAGAGAGAGUUCACCUCAUGACGUCUCUAACAAAUGCUGCGAGGUCCACAAAAGGACUUCAGAAUAGAAAAAAUUGUCAAGAGUUAGUAACUUUCUUGGUAGGUUUUUA